UAAACACCCAGAGGUGGAGUCAAGAUUGGAAAUGUGUGGGAGAGGAAGAAAACUAGGGCAUUUGAGGUCUAAUGAAACAGGCUGUAAGAAAGAGAUGAUGUAGAAGUAGUCAGGAGCUGGAUGGUGUAGAGUCCUGUGGACUAUUACAGCUUCCAGCAUGUGUUGUGAAACAUUUCUUCUAAUUUCUAAAAUUGAAACAAUUACUAUGAUCUACAAAAUUUGAAGAACAACUAUGAAUCAAUAAUUUACUGCUAUAAUCAACAAAGGAUAAAUUAACUUCAUCUGACACAUGCUGAAUAAUCUACAUAAAUAUGAUUGCAAGUCAUGGCAAGUAUUCGUAAGUAGAUUUGAGAAAGUCCAUGCAUGGGAGCAGGACAAAGAGAAAUAAUCUGAUCAUCCCUAAGAGGUUUCAACAGUGGGAUGUCAGCCAUAGCAGAAAUCAGAGAGCCCUGGUGAAACUUAUUAGCAAACAUUGCUUGAGAGGCUUGUCUAGGCACGAGCAAUGAAAGGAAGAAAUAAAUAUUUCAUCUUUCCUUUCUGUCCAUGGGCAAAAUAUUCAAACUUCAGAAUGAGCAAUUGCGUAAAGCUGAGUCCUGGAAGGCUGCCUGUAGGGGGCAGUAUGUGGUCUGGCCUUAAGGACAAACGGAAUUUUCACCGGAGAAGACUGUGGCGGGGGCUUUUCAGGAGGAAUGAAUAGGAAGAGUACAGGAGGCUGUAUAGCAGCAGGUGGCUUUGUUUGGUUGGAAAACACUCCAAGUGAAAAGGCAUUGUGAAGAAUGGAAGAGCUACUGAGAAACCAGCCUAUGGAGUUUGGCUGUCUCUCCUAGUCACAAAUAAGGAGCUGUUACUGGUUUUUGUCAAAAGAACAGGAUGAUCACAUCUGUGCCUUAGGACACUUUAGAUGGGGCAGAACAGGUACAGGGGAUGUGGUGGGGGAAGAAAUGACUCGAUUUCAAACAAAUCAAAUAAAUUACUUUGAUGUUUAAAAAAAAAAAAUAAA
rnacentral:lncRNA from 10 species